GUGGGAUUUGGCUUGCAAUGUCUGGCUUACUUCACCUAACAUUAUGUUCUCCAAACCUAUCCAUGUUGCCAUAAAUAACAGGAUUCUUCUUUUUUA